AUGUUAGCGGCGGACGGGUGAGUAACACGUGGGUAACCUGCCUGUAAGACUGGGAUAACUCCGGGAAACCGGGGCUAAUACCGGAUGGUUGUUUGAACCGCAUGGUUCAAACAUAAAAGGUGGCUUCGGCUACCACUUACAGAUGGACCCGCGGCGCAUUAGCUAGUUGGUGAGGUAACGGCUCACCAAGGCAACGAUGCGUAGCCGACCUGAGAGGGUGAUCGGCCACACUGGGACUGAGACACGGCCCAGACUCCUACGGGAGGCAGCAGUAGGGAAUCUUCCGCAAUGGACGAAAGUCUGACGGAGCAACGCCGCGUGAGUGAUGAAGGUUUUCGGAUCGUAAAGCUCUGUUGUUAGGGAAGAACAAGUACCGUUCGAAUAGGGCGGUACCUUGACGGUACCUAACCAGAAAGCCACGGCUAACUACGUGCCAGCAGCCGCGGUAAUACGUAGGUGGCAAGCGUUGUCCGGAAUUAUUGGGCGUAAAGGGCUCGCAGGCGGUUUCUUAAGUCUGAUGUGAAAGCCCCCGGCUCAACCGGGGAGGGUCAUUGGAAACUGGGGAACUUGAGUGCAGAAGAGGAGAGUGGAAUUCCACGUGUAGCGGUGAAAUGCGUAGAGAUGUGGAGGAACACCAGUGGCGAAGGCGACUCUCUGGUCUGUAACUGACGCUGAGGAGCGAAAGCGUGGGGAGCGAACACGAUUAUAUACUCUGGUAGUCCACGCCGUAUACGAUGAGUGCUACGUGUUA
rnacentral:rRNA from 1 species